AUUGAACGCUGGCGGCAGGCCUAACACAUGCAAGUCGAGCGAGCGGCGGACGGGUGAGUAAUGUCUGGGAAACUGCCUGAUGGAGGGGGAUAACUACUGGAAACGGUAGCUAAUACCGCAUACCAUCAGAUGGGCCCAGCGGGGAUUAGCUAGUCGGUGGGUUAAUGGCUCACCUAGGCGACGAUCCCUAGCUGGUCUGAGAGGAUGACCAGGCACGCUGGAACUGAGACACGGUCCAGACUCCUACGGGAGGCAGCAGUGGGGAAUAUUGCACAAUGGGCGCAAGCGUGAUGCAGCCAUGCCGCGUGUAUGAAGAAGGCCUUCGGGUUGUAAAGCACUUUCAGCGAGGAGGCGUUACUCGCAGAAGAAGCACCGGCUAACUCCGUGCCAGCAGCCGCGGUAAUUC
rnacentral:rRNA from 1 species